GACGAACGCUGGCGGCGUGGAUUAGGCAUGCAAGUCGGACGGUAGAGCUUUAUCGUAAGAUAGAGUUUGAGAGUGGCGAACUGGUGAGUAACACGUAGGUUAUCUACCCUCAAGACGGGGACAACCCAGGGAAACUUGGGCUAAUACCGGAUGUGAGCAACUUUUAGUUGUUUGAAAGGUGGCGUAAGCUGUCGCUUGGGGAUGAGCCUGCGUCCUAUUAGUUAGUUGGUGAGGUAACGGCUCACCUAGGCAAUGAUAGGUAGGCGGCCUUAACGGGGUGGUCGCCCACACUGGGAUUGAGAUACGGCCCAGACUCCUACGGGAGGCAGCAGUCGAGAAUAGUCUACAAUGGUCGGAAGACUGAUAGUGCGACGCCGCGUGAACGAUGAAUCCCUUCGGGGUGUAAAGUUCUUUUAUAUGUGAGCAGUGCUUCUUAUAUUAACAGUUAUGGGGAGAGAGAUAUUAGCAUAUGAAUAAGCAACGGCUAACUCCGUGCCAGCAGCCGAC
rnacentral:rRNA from 1 species